rnacentral:tRNA from 1 species
GUGUUGGUGGUAGAGUGGUGAGCACAGCUGCCUUCCAAGCAGUUGGCCUGGCCAACACA